CUACGUGCCAGCAGCCGCGGUAAUACGUAGGGUGCGAGCGUUAAUCGGAAUUACUGGGCGUAAAGCGAGCGCAGACGGUUACUUAAGCAGGAUGUGAAAUCCCCGGGCUCAACCUGGGAACUGCGUUCUGAACUGGGUGACUAGAGUGUGUCAGAGGGAGGUAGAAUUCCACGUGUAGCAGUGAAAUGCGUAGAGAUGUGGAGGAAUACCGAUGGCGAAGGCAGCCUCCUGGGAUAACACUGACGUUCAUGCUCGAAAGCGUGGGUAGCAAACAGGAUUAGAUACCCUGGUAGUCCACGCCCUAAACGAUGUCAAUUAGCUGUUGGGCAACUUGAUUGCUUAGUAGCGUAGCUAACGCGUGAAAUUGACCGCCUGGGGAGUACGGUCGCAAGAUUAAAACUCAAAUGAAUUGACGGGGGCCCGCACAAGCGGUGGAGCAUGUGGUUUAAUUCGAUGCAACGCGAAGAACCUUACCUACUCUUGACA
rnacentral:rRNA from 1 species